rnacentral:rRNA from 1 species
UACGUGAGGCAGCGAGCGUUUGUUCGGGAGUUACUGGGCGUAAAGGGUGUGUAGGCGGUUGUUUAAGUUUGGUGAUGAAAUCUCCCGGCUCAACUGGAGGGUGCGCCGAAUACUGAAUGACUUCGAGUGCGGGAGAGGAGAGUGGAAUUCCUGGUGUAGCGGUGAAAUGCGUAGAUAUCGGAAAGAACACCAACGGCGAAAGCACUCUGCUGGGCCGAACACUGACACUGAGAGACGAAAGCUAGGGGAGCGAAUGGG